rnacentral:rRNA from 1 species
GGGGGAUAUUGCACAAUGGGCGAAAGCCUGAUGCAGCAACGCCGCGUGAGGGAAGACGGUUUUCGGAUUGUAAACCUCUGUCUUUGGUGAAGAAAAAAAUGACGGUAGCCGAGGAGGAAGCCACGGCUAACUACGUGCCAGCAGCCGCGGUAAUACGUAGGUGGCGAGCGUUGUCCGGAAUUACUGGGUGUAAAGGGAGCGCAGGCGGGAGAACAAGUCAGCUGUGAAAACUAUGGGCUUAACCCAUAAACUGCAGUUGAAACUGUUUUUCUUGAGUGGAGUAGAGGUAGGCGGAAUUCCGAGUGUAGCGGUGAAAUGCGUAGAUAUUCGGAGGAACACCAGUGGCGAAGGCGGCCUACUGGGCUCUAACUGACGCUGAGGCUCGAAAGUGUGGGGAGCAAAC